GCCCUGUGGAUCAGUGGGAGAUCACCUCAAUGUGAUAGUUGCGUUCUCUAGAUCUGAUUUCUUGAGGAGAUGCAGGUUCGAUUCCUGCCACGGGCA